rnacentral:snRNA from 1 species
CGACCUUGAUCUUCUGAGA